rnacentral:rRNA from 1 species
AUUGAACGCUGGCGGCAGGCUUAACACAUGCAAGUCGAGCGGUAGCACAGGGGAGCUUGCUCCCUGGGUGACGAGCGGCGGACGGGUGAGUAAUGUCUGGGAAACUGCCUGAUGGAGGGGGAUAACUACUGGAAACGGUAGCGAAUACCGCAUAACGUCGCAAGACCAAAGAGGGGGACCUUCGGGCCUCUUGCCAUCAGAUGUGCCCAGAUGGGAUUAGCUAGUAGGUGGGGUAAUGGCUCACCUAGGCGACGAUCCCUAGCUGGUCUGAGAGGAUGACCAGCCACACUGGAACUGAGACACGGUCCAGACUCCUACGGGAGGCAGCAGUGGGGAAUAUUGCACAAUGGGCGCAAGCCUGAUGCAGCCAUGCCGCGUGUGUGAAGAAGGCCUUCGGGUUGUAAAGCACUUUCAGCGAGGAGGAAGGUGGUGAGCUUAAUACGUUCAUCAAUUGACGUUACUCGCAGAAGAAGCACCGGCUAACUCCGUG